GACGAACGCUGGCGGCGUGCUUAACACAUGCAAGUCGAACGGAAAGGCCCUGCUUUUGUGGGGUGCUCGAGUGGCGAACGGGUGAGUAACACGUGAGUAACCUGCCCUUGACUUUGGGAUAACUUCAGGAAACUGGGGCUAAUACCGGAUAGGAGCUCCUGCUGCAUGGUGGGGGUUGGAAAGUUUCGGCGGUUGGGGAUGGACUCGCGGCUUAUCAGCUUGUUGGGGGGGUAGUGGAUUACCAAGGCUUUGACGGGUAGCCGGGCUGGGAGGGUGAGCGGCCAAAUUGGGAUGGAGAUGAGACACAGACUACUACGGGAGGGAGGAGUGGGGAAGGUAGUAUAGUGGGAGGGGGGCUGGUGUACCAAAGCCGCGUGCGGGAUGAGGGGAAUGUGGUUGGAUAGUGCUAUCGCCUGUGACGAAGCGUGAGUGACGGUAAUGGGUAAAGAAGCACCGGCUAACUACGUG
rnacentral:rRNA from 1 species